GACGAACGCUGGCGGCGUGCUUAACACAUGCAAGUCGAACGAAGAGCGAUGGAAGCUUGCUUCUAUCAAUCUUAGUGGCGAACGGGUGAGUAACGCGUAAUCAACCUGCCCUUCAGAGGGGGACAACAGUUGGAAACGACUGCUAAUACCGCAUACGAUCUAAUCUCGGCAUCGAGGAUAGAUGAAAGGUGGCCUCUACAUGUAAGCUAUCACUGGAGGAGGGGAGUGCGUGUGGUUAGCUAGGUGGAGGGGGAACGGCCCACCAAGGCGAUGGUGAGUAGCCGGUCUUGAGGGGUGGACGGCCACAUUGGGACUGGGACCCGGCCCCGGCUCCUACGGGGGGCAGCCGUGGGGGAUCUUCCGCAAUGGACGAAAGUCUGGCUGCGCAACGCCGCGUGGGUGAUGGCGGCCUUCGGGUUGUAAAGCUCUGUUAAUCGGGACGAAAGGCCUUCUUGCGAAUAGUGCGAAGGAUUGACGGUACCGGAAGAGAAAGCCACGGCUAACUACGUG
rnacentral:rRNA from 1 species